UACAGAGGGUGCAAGCGUUGUUCGGAAUUACUGGGCGUAAAGCGCACGUAGGCGGCUUUGUAAGUAAGAGGUGAAAGCCCAGAGCUCAACUCUGGAAUUGCCUUUUAGACUGCAUCGCUUGAAUCAUGGAGAGGUCAGUGGAAUUCCGAGUGUAGAGGUGAAAUUCGUAGAUAUCGGGAGGAACACCUGUGGCGAAGGCGGCCACCUGGACGGUAACUGACGCUGAGACGCGAAAGCGUGGGUAGCAAACAGG
rnacentral:rRNA from 1 species